GAUUGAUCCCGUCGGACCCCACUGCUAUCGAGAUGGGCCUAAAGUAUGCUAGUCGAACGACCAGAACUAUGUCUGGAAGUGGCACACUGCUCAGUAACACGUAGCUAACCUACCCUUAGGACGUGGAUACCCCCGAGAAAUUGGGGUUAAUCCGCGAUAGAUGUAAUGUCCUGGAAUGGUAUUACGUCUAAAGGUAUUUCAUACAUGUUUGAAAUAUGCCUAAGGAUGGGGCUGCGGCCGAUCAGGCUGUUGGUGAGGUAAUGGCUCACCAAACCUUUGACCGGUACGGGCCAUGAGAGUGGUAGCCCGGAGAUGGACACUCAAGGGUCCAGGCCCUAAGGGGCGCAGCAACCGCGAAACCUCCACAAUGCACUCACGUGCGAUGGGGCUAUCUCGAGUGCCUCCUGAUGAAGGUGGCUUUUCCUUGGUCUUCAAAGCCUUGGGAAUAAGAGGGGGGCAAGACUGGUGUCAGCCGCCGCGGUAACACCAGCCCCUCGAGUGGUGGGGAUGAUUAUUUGGCCUAAAGCGUCCGUAGCCGGCCGAGCAAGUCUUCCGUUAAAUCCAGCGUCUCAAGCGUUGGACCGCGGGAGAUACUACACGGCUAGAGAGUGGGAGAGGUCAGCGGUAUUCUGGGGGUAGGGGCGAAAUCCUUUGAUCCCCGGAGGACCACCAGUGGCGAAGGCUGCUGACUAGAACACGUCUGACGGUCAGGGACGAAAGCUGGGGUAGCGAACCGGAUUAGAUACCCGGGUAGUCCCAGCCGUAAACGAUGCAUGCUAGGUGUUGGGUUGGCCACGAGCCACCCCAGUGCCGCAGGGAAGCCGUUAAGCAUGCCGCCUGGGAAGUACGAUCGCAAGAUUAAAACUUAAAGGAAUUGGCGGGGGAGCACCACCAGGCGUGAAGCCUGCGGUUUAAUUGGAGUCAACGCUGGGAACCUUACCGGGAGCGACAGCAGAAUGAAGGCCAGAUUGAAGAUCUUGCCAGACGAGCUGAGAGGAGGUGCAUGGCCGUCGCCAGUUCGUGCCGUGAGGUGUUCUCUUAAGUGAGAUAACGAACGAGACCCGUGCCACAUGUUGCCACCAGUAUCUAAAGGAUAGCUGAGCACUCUUGUGGGACCGCAGCCGAUAAGGCUGAGGAAGGUACGGGCAACGGCAGGUCAGUAUGCCCCGAAUCUCCCGGGCCACACGCGGGCUGCAAUGGUACAGACAGAGGGCUGCCACCCCGAAAGGGGGAGCCAAUCCCUAAACUGUACCUCAGUUGGGAUCGAGGGUUGCAACCCACCCUCGUGAACAUGGAAUGCCUAGUAACCGCCAGUCAUCAUCUGGCGGUGAAUACGUCCCUGCUCCUUGCACACACUGCCCGUCGAACCACCCGAAUGAGGUUUGGGUGAGGAAUGGUCGAAUGUUGGCCGUUUCGAACCUGGGCCUCGUAAGGAGGGUUAAGUCGUAACAAGGUG
rnacentral:rRNA from 1 species